CUGGCAACGGGAACCGGCGGAGAGACAGCACAGGCGCACUAGCAACGGGAACCGGCGGAGAGCACAGGAGGGGACAGCUGAACGCAAAAGGGAAGAGAGGAAGAAUGGAGAAGUGCAUGCAUACUGGACGAUGAGCAGCGAUCGGACAUUUGAAAGUCGAAUCGAGGGAGGAGCAAGCCUGCGGGGUUUCGCCUUUCGUCUCGCAUGAAUACCAGCACAUUUACCGUCCUUCUGCUCACCUGCGCACACUUUCUACCCUCGUUUGCAGCAGGCGAUGACUCAGUACUCAAUAAGCCUCUUUUCACGGCCAGAGCAAACCGUGAUGCGUCCAGAUCGGAUGCUGUCUCCAGUGCGUCGGUAAAAACUGAGUGUCGACUGGGACGAGCCAAACAUCUUUAGCUUCCUGAGGAAGCAGAGGCGUUGGUGAGCUUUCUUGGGUAAUGGCGCACAUGUAUUCGAACCAGGACAGGUUAUCGUUGAGGUUCAUUGAAGCUUGGACUCAAUACAGUUGAUGUAGACAAUAGCAUGUGCACACAUCCCCACACCCCUUUCCUGAAGACAAUGACCAACUCUUUUUUUUCCCUUUUGACAUUGAGGGAAAGGUCAUCAGUUCACCGUGUCACAAAGCUUUCUGUCUCCGUCCCGUACCCUGACUCAUCGUUAUUUGAGAUGCCAACUGCAGCCUUGCAGAUGGAGACAGGGCAGGUUUAUUAUCGCUGACAUACGUUGUGAAAUUUGUCAUCUUGCAGUGCAACGACAUAGAAAUUCUGAGGAAGUUUGGUAUGUCACCGAAGACUCAAGCAAAUUUCCACAGAGGUGCAUCUCCGCCUGCUAUGGAGGCUUGAGUGCACAGGAUCGGAGAGUUGCUCCAUCACAGGCUCACCUUCCAGAGGCAUUCCCUCAAGGACAUGCCCUCUUCUCAUUGCUGCCAUCAGGGAGGAGGUAGAGGAACCUGGAGACACACACUUCAUGGUUCAGGAUCAGCUUCUUCCCCUCCGGCAUCAGAUUUCCAAAUGCUCAAUGAACACCACCUCACUGUUCUUCUUUUGCACUUCUUUUAUUUUUUGUAACUUAACGCAAUUUUUAUGUCUUGCACUGUACUGCAGCCACAAAUCAACAAAUUUCACCACAUAUCAGCGAAAAUAAGCUCGAUUCUGAUUUUCAAAACAUUUCCAUUUUGCCUUACAACAACAUUUUGUGUUCCACAUUUUUACAUACACCGACAAGCAAUCAGACAUGGUGCCGGCACAUUUAACUCUUCUCCUUAGAAUUUGGGGGAGGGUAGGGAACAAGAUCUCAAUGUAGAAAAAGAAUGAAGUCAUUACCAGGGUGGGGGGGGGGGUCAGCAACAACAGGAGAUGAGGUGUAGAGACACCAGCCCAGCAGGGAUGGUCCCAGUGUGCCUGAAGAGCCCGGUGGGGCGAUGGACUGAGAGGGAGACUGGGUCCCCAGAACCGGCGGGGUAACUGUGAGAGGGAGAGGAAGGAGGGCAGAGAAAGAGAGGGACAAGAGAGUGGAAGAGAGGUGGAAGGGAGGGGAGGUAAGACAAGAGUGGGAGAAGGGGAGAAGCAAGGGACAGGGAAGAAGGCUGGGAAGGGGAGAGUGGGAGGGAUAGGGAGCAGAUCAGUGAGAGAGAGGUACCUGAGAGAAGGAAGGAGAAUUGGAACAGGAUGGCAAGAGGGAGGAAGAGAGGGUGAGCGAGAGAUAUAUGGGGUGGGGGAAUAGGGAAACAAGGGAGGAAGAGAUGGAGAUAGCAUGGACAAAGAAAAAUGGAGGACUAUGUAGGAGAGAAGAUACAGGGAUCAACAGGAGUGAGAUACAGGCCGGGAUCUAAUCCAGGGGUUCCUAAAAUAGAAUAACAGAUCCCUGGGAGUAGAUUGCAGGCUGGGAUCUAAUCCAGGGGGUUUGGGGACUUAUGUAUAGAAUAACAGAUCCCCAGGAGUGGAUUGCAGGCUGGGAUCUAAUCCAGGGGUUUGGGGGCUUACAUAUAGAAUAACUGAUCCCCUGGAGUGGGUUACAAGCUGGGAUCUAAUCUUGGGGAUCGGGAUUUAUAUAUAGAAUAAUAAAUCUCUGAGAAUGAGUUACCAACUGGGAUCUAAUCCAGGCUUUCAGGGGGUUUAUAUAUAAAAUAACAGAUCCCUGGAGUAGGAUACAGUCUAUGGUCUAAUACAGGGGUUGGGUGGGUUAUAUGUAGAAUAACAGAUCCUGGAAGAGGAAGAGAAACUUGUGAGCCACUUUGAACAGCUGUGUUGUUUAUAUAUUUACAUCAUAAAUGAUAUCUGUGUGGAUUGUCCGUGUUCCAUAAAUUGGAAUUUACUGUGAAACUCUGUGGCCCUUCUUCACAAUCCUUUGAUGGAGAGCUUCAGUCACCAGAUCAUAAAUGGGAUGCUCUCACCACCGAUUUGCCUCAAAGGCACAGGCUGCUUCUAUGUGGCCCUUCAUCCAUCCAGCCUCUGCUAUCCCCCUCACAAGUCUGGAACAUUGAGGAGGUAGGUGAUCUUUCCGUUCAAAAUGUCUCUUCUCUCCCAAACACACCAUUCUCUCCUCCCCCCUCCAUCCUCCCAACCAGGCAUUGGACCCAUCAUUUGCCACCCCCACCACGACAUUGGCAAUUAACCCAUGAGGGACUUUAUGAAAUGCCUUACUAAAUUCCAUGUAGACAACAUCCACUGCCCUAACUUCAUUAAUCUCUCUCAUCACCAUGUCAAAAAUAUCAAAAAAAGUUGGUAAAACACAACUUGCCCCACACAAAGCCAUGUUGGGUCUCUCGAAUUAGCCCAUGGGUUUCCAAAUGUUCAUUUUCUCCAGCAAUUUCCCUAACAACUGACAUGAGGCUCACCAGUCAAUAGUUCCCAGGAUUUUCCCUUGUUACCUUUUUAAAUAGAGGCAUAUCAGACACUUGUCAGUCCUCCAGGACCUCACCUGUCGCUAGAGAGGACACAAAGAUACUGGUCAAGGCCCCAGCAGUUUUGUCUCUUGCCUCCUUCAAAUCCCAUCAGGCCCUGGGGACUGAUAUUAAUACUCAUUAAGAGGCCCAACACUUCCACCUCCUUGACCUCUAAACACCCUAACAUAUUUUUUACACUCAGCACUAACCUCCUGUUGCUCCAUAUCCUUUUCCUUGGUAAAUUCUGAAACAAAGUUCUCAGUAAGUACUUCAUGCACAUUCUCCAAAUCCAAGCAAAUGUUCCUCUUUAUCCUUGAAUGGUCCUACCCUCUCCCUAGUUAUCCACUUGCUCACGAUGUAUUGGGAUGCCUUGAGAUUCACCUUAAUCCUCCUUGCCCUUCCCAGCUUUCUAAAUUCCCUUCUUUAUUUCUUUUUUGGCUUCUUUGUAAUCCUAACUUCAUUUGAUAGGCUCCAUUUGAUCCUAACUUCUGAAGCUUUAAAUACCAUUUCCAUUUUCUUCUUGACUAGAAAUUCAAGAUUCUCUUAACUUUCCACCCUCAUCCUUCCUUCUAAUAGGAACUUUACUCUGUACGAUUGAUCUUUAACCACUCUCCACAUGUCUGAUGAGGACUUGCCAAUUAAAUAGGCAUCUGUUAGUCUCAUGACACCACGGAUUUGUGCCUUGGAAGGUUUCCAGGGAGCAGGGUUGUAUGGGAGACCGGCAUUUGCCCAAGCUGCUAAGCCUUCCCCUCUCCACGCCACUGAUGUUUUCCAAGGGAAGGGCACGAGGACUCAAGCAGCUUGGCAUCGGUGUCGUCACAAAGCAAUGUGUUGUUAAGUGCCUUCUUCAAGGACACAAUGCGCUGCCUCAGCUGAGACUCGAACCAGUGACCUUCAGAUCACCAGACUGAUGCCUUAUCCACUAGGCCACGCGCCAACACAAGUUAAACGCAAGUUUUGCCAGUUAAAAAGGUGUUCCCAAAUA